rnacentral:rRNA from 1 species
CCUACGGGAGGCAGCAGUGAGGAAUAUUGGUCAAUGGGCGUAAGCCUGAACCAGCCAAGUCGCGUGAGGGAUGAAGGUUCUAUGGAUCGUAAACCUCUUUUAUAAGGGAAUAAAGUGCGGGACGUGUCCCGUUUUGUAUGUACCUUAUGAAUAAGGAUCGGCUAACUCCGUGCCAGCAGCCGCGGUAAUACGGAGGAUCCGAGCGUUAUCCGGAUUUAUUGGGUUUAAAGGGUGCGUAGGUGGGUUUUUAAUUCAGCUGUGAAAGUUUGUGGCUCAACCUUAAAAUUGCAAUUGAUACUGGGAGGCUUGAGUAUAUUUGAGGCAGGCGGAAUUCGUGGUGUAGCGGUGAAAUGCUUAGAUAUCACGCAGAACCCCGAUUGCGAAGGCAGCCUGCUAAGCCAUGACUGACGCUGAUGCACGAAAGCGUGGGGAUCAAACAGGAUUAGAUACCCGGGUAGUC